rnacentral:rRNA from 1 species
UGAAGUAAGUAAGGGCGUACGGUGAAUGCCUUGGUGCCAACAGGCGAAGAAGGACGCGGCAAGCUGCGAAAAGCCUCGGGAAGCUGCAAGCAAGCGAUGAUCCGGGGAUAUCCGAAUGGGGUAACCUGAUCGAGGCAAUACUCGAUCGUUCAUACCUGAAUACAUAGGGUAUGAAACGCGAAACCCGCUGAAGUGAAACAUCUCAGUAAGCGGAGGAAAAGAAAGAGAAAUCGAUUCCGUAAGUAGUGGCGAGCGAAAGCGGAUGGAGCCCAAACCGAAGGUAUUCCUUCGGGGUUGUAGGACCACGUCAUAUUCGACCAUACUGGAUAGUAGAACAGCCUGGAAAGGCUGGCCGGAGAAGGUGAAAGCCCUGUAGACGAAAUCCAGAGUGGGAAUUAGUGGUAUCCUGAGUAAUACAUCACACGUGGAACGAUGUAUGAACCCGCGCGGACCACCGCGCAAGGCUAAAUACUAGUUGGCGACCGAUAGUGAACAAGUACCGCGAGGGAAAGGUGAAAAGAACCGCUGUGAGCGGAGUGAAAUAGAACCUGAAACCGUAUGUCUACAAAGUGUCAGAGCAGAGCAAUCUGCGAUGGCGUGCCUUUUGUUUAAUGAGUCUGCGAGUCAGUGUUUGUGGCAAGACUAAGGGCUUCCGGCCCGGAGUCGCAGCGAAAGCAAGUCCGAACAGGGCGCAAUAAGUCGCAGGUACUGGACCCGAAGCGGAGGUGACCUACCCUUGGCCAGGUUGAAGCAUGGGUAAAACCAUGUGGAGGACCGAACAGGUGAACGUUGAAAAGUUCUCUGAUGAGCUGAGGGUAGGAGUGAAAGGCUAAUCAAACCCCGUGAUAGCUGGUUCUCUUCGAAAUGCAUUUAGGUGCAGCGUCACGUGCUGAUGCGCGGGGGUAGAGCACUGACAAGGCUAGGGGGCACACCCGCUUACCAAACCUUAUCAAACUCCGAAUACCGUGCAAUGGAACGUGGCAGUGAGACAGUGGGGGAUAAGCUUCAUUGUCGAGAGGGAAACAACCCAGACCAGCAGCUAAGGUGCCUAAAUAACGCUCAGUGGAAAGGAUGUGGGAUUACACAGACAGUGAGGAUGUUGGCUUAGAAGCAGCCACCAUUUAAAAAAUGCGUAAUAGCUUACUCAUCGAGUGAUCCUGCGCCGAAAAUGAUUGGCGAUCAAGCGUUAUACCGAAGCUCUGGACUUUGCCGCAAGGCAGAGUGGUAGAAGAGCGUUGCAUGCGCGUCGAAGGGCGAUGGCGACUGACCCUGGAGCACAUGCAAGUGAGUAUGCAGACAUGAGUAACGUUAAGCCGGGUGAAAUCCCCGGCCGCCGUAAACCCGAGGUUUCCAGGGCAACGUGUUUCGUCCCUGGGUUAGCCGGGACCUAAGCCGAGGCCGAGAGGCGUAGGCGAUGGACAUCAGGUUAAUAAUCCUGAGCUCGCAACCCUUAAACUGGGGGGACGCAUGAGAAAAGAUGACUAGGUUAUUGAAUUCCGAGUUGAGUCUACGGACUCAGCGCAUCAUUGGAUCGAGUGCCAAGAAAAGCCCCAGCGUAUGCUAAGCGACCCGUACCGCAAACCGACACAGGUGGGUGGGUAGAAUAUACCAAGGCGUAAGAGUGAAACCUGGUUAAGGAACUCGGCAAAUUAGCCCCGUAACUUCGGAAGAAGGGGUGCCUGCAGCGAUGCAGGCCGCAGAGAAAUGGCCCAACCGACUGUUUAUCAAAAACACAGCACUCUGCAAAGACGCAAGUCGAAGUAUAGGGUGUGACACGUGACCAAUGCCGAAAGAUUAAGGCAAGGGGUUAGCCGCAAGGCGAAGCUCUAAACCCAAGUCCCGGUGAAUGUCGGCCGUAACUAUAACGGUCCUAAGGUAGCGAAAUUCCUUGUCGGGUAAGUUCCGACCUGCACGAAUCGUGAAACGAGUUGGGCACUGUCUCAACCAGGCGCUCAGUGAAAUUGUAGUGGCGGUGAAGAUGCCGCCUACCCGCAGAAGGACGGAAAGACCCUAUAGACCUUAACUGUAAGCUGUCAUUGUUUCUUCGGUUUUAAUGCUCAGAGUAAGUGGGAGACGCUGAAGACGCCCUUUAGGGGGCGUCCGAGUCAUCAAUGAGACACCACCCUUUGAAACUGGAGGAUCUAACCCUGAGCCGUGAAUCCGGCCAGAGGACCGUGUCAGCCGGUCAGUUUUACUGGGGCGGUAUCCUCCCAAAGAGUAACGGAGGAGCGCGAAGGUGGGCUCAGCCCGGUUGGCAACCGGGUGUCGAGUGCAUGGGCAUAAGCCCGCCUAACUGUGAGACCAACAAGUCGAGCAGAUGCGAAAGCAGGCCCAAGUGAUCCGGCGGUAGAAAGUGGAAUUGCCGUCGCUCAACGGAUAAAAGGUACCUUAGGGAUAACAGGCUGAUCACGCCCAAGAGUUCAUAUCGACGGCGUGGUUUGGCACCUCGAUGUCGGCUCGUCGCAUC